rnacentral:misc_RNA from 1 species
CGCACCUUGCACCUUUUGGUAUUCCAGAAGGUACGCCCGUUUGAGUGUCAUUGUAAUCUCACCUCUUCAACUUUGUUGUUGGAUGAAGUGGACUUGGGCAUUGUCGUGUUGCAACGACUGACCUUAAAUGUGUGAGUGUACCCUGCUGUUGCGGCGUCUUCAGUGUGAUAAGCAUCUUCACUGAUACAAGCUCCUUUGUUGGACACGCGAAGCGACGUGGGCUCUGCGCUUUCCAAUCGUCGAGAGACAAAACCUUUGACAAUUUGACCUCAAAUCGGGUGGGACUACCCGCUGAACUUAA